GCCGCCAGCGGCCGGCCCGACUGGCCGCGCUGUGGUUCAUGUCUCUACGCCACGCGCCUCCCCGUCCUCCCGCUUCGCUUUGUUCGGCUUCUGGAGUCGCCGAGAUGCGCUGGACGCGCGCUGCGUGGGUCGUCCGUUUUACAGCAGCGCGUGGUGGACAGCUCGCAGCGUGGAGUGGCCUGUGUUGAUGAGCUGUAUGUGAAGGCACCACGGCGCGGUGCGGCAGCCAGACCUCGUUGGCCCAUGGGUUCCGGGCGUGCUGACGUUCGACACGUGUUCCGGAUAAGUUGGGAUCUCGGCGUUGGUCCAGAUCGCGUGCUCGCGGGCGGCGCCGUGCUUCGCCGGUAGGGAUAGUGGUGCGGCUCCGCGCCUUGCGUGGGGCUCACGCGCAGCGGCUCUCUCUCGCUUCGGGGACGCCCGGCGUCGACGCACUGACCGCACAUGGCGGCAGCGUCGAUCUGCUCUCGGCGGUGGUGGAGGUGGGGGAUGUCUGCCGCCCGGCGUCGACGCACUGACCGCACAUGGCGGCAGCGUCGAUCUACUCUCGGCGGUGGUGGAGGUGGGGGAUGUCUGCCGCCCGGCGUCGACGCACUGACCGCACAUGGCGGCAGCGUCGAUCUACUCUCGGCGGUGGUGGAGGUGGGGAAUGUUUGUCACCCGUGGCGACGUUUCGCGGUGUUCGGUGGGAGGGUGUGCGUGCGUGUGUCGUUGAUCACCUCCCGUGAGCGUCAGGACCUCUGCACUACUCCGUCCGCACACGCGUGGGGCCUGCGGCCGGUGCCCCUGCCGUCGGCGGUGCGUCUCUGCCGCCAGCGCUGCCGCGCCACGCUGUGAGGGCACGCUGGCGACGAGGCUGGUGUCGGCCGAGGCCUGGGCGCCGCGGCGGCAUUCGCCGGCUUUCGCGGGACGCACGUCUCAUUCUAGGCGGUGUUGGCGCCUGCCACUGAAAAUCGGAAUGCGUCGUGACACUUCCCGAGGCGGCAUGCCCACAUGCGCCGGCGCAUGGCGACCUUCUUUUUUGCCUCAACGGACCUAGAGUGACAUCUGAGGGGAAGUGAUGAUUGCGUCCUGCGGAAAUGCCAGACAAAGGAUGGCGUUAAACUGGCAUAUGUUGUUCGCCGCAAGCCAGGGAAGCGGUUACAUCAAUCUGGCCAAUUUUUGUCGAGAAAAAUCCAGUGCAAGUAACGGAAAACGGCCGCAACAGCAUAGUUAUUUCACCGCGAUGCAGCGCACAUUGCAUACACUUGGAUGACGACCGAGCCAACUCGCGCACGCUCUCGCCAGAUCGACCGGGUGCACCGAGUCCUGCGCGUGGUGUCCGUGACAGUGGUGGCCUUGGUUCAGCUGACAUGGCGACCGAAGCGAGGGAUCGAUGCCGGGCCGCUUCAUCGCGUCAUCGGAGACGAUGCCCCUCCCCCAGGCUCCGCUGCUGGGUACGCCCUUCUGUUGUGGUUGUGUGGUGUUGUUUAGGCAGGGAGAUCCUACAAGAAAAACCGGGACCUCUGUCCAGUGGGGAAAACCUGAAUUCGCCAGCUUAUGUGGAAAGACCCUUUGUUUUUAAUGAAUCAUUCAAUCCCGAAUAAUGUAAAGAUGUGAAGGGAACGAGUCAGUCAGGGUGAGGACCUCCGACGAGAAAAUGGACAUAUAGCGGAAGACGAUUGGCGUCGGUGUAAUAAACAAGCGACUGUCGUGGUCGUCGAUAUACAGGACACGCAAGCAGGAAUGGACUAAUUGUGAACGGGAUGUCGCAGCGGCGGCGACGGAGGAGCGCGUUCGAAGAGGUGGCGACGGGUGCUCUUGGUGUGACAUAUGCGUGGUCAGACCGGCAGUACUUCUUUGAGGCGGUUACCUUGGUGGGUUGUGCACGUGCUGUAGCGUAGGUUCGAUCAGCUGGAGGUGCUGAUGGGUGCGUGGGCCCCAGUCACGCGGGAGAUAGGAAUGAAAGUAUGAAGAGAUGCUGACUGUUUUCUGGUAACGUGAGACUUUGUGUCGCUUUCUCGUCGGCAGUGUCGUUUCCAUGUAUACUGGUGUAUCCAGGUUUCCGGAAUAAUAUUGCAUAAAUCUGUUGAGGAAAGUACCGGCACGUUCUACGUACAUCGUACAUAAUUGGAUGAAAUGGACUGUGUAGUGGUGAGAGCUUGUAGCGAGGAUGAAAUUCCGUACAUAUAACUGGACGUUGAA